rnacentral:rRNA from 1 species
AUUGAACGCUUGCGUCAUGCCUUACACAUGCAAGUCGAACGGCAACAGGUCUUCGGAUGCUGACGAGUGGCGAACGGGUGAGUAAUACAUCGGAACGUGCCUAGUAGUGGGGGAUAACUACUCGAAAGAGUGGCUAAUACCGCAUGAGAUCUACGGAUGAAAGCAGGGGAUCGCAAGACCUUGUGCUACUAGAGCGGCCGAUGGCAGAUUAGGUAGUUGGUGGGAUAAAAGCUUACCAAGCCGACGAUCUGUAGCUAGUCUGAGAGGACGAUUAGCGACACUGGGACUGGGACACGGCCCAGACUCCUACGUGGGGUAGCAGUGGGGAAUUUUGGACAAUGGGCGCAAUCCUGAUCCAGCAAUGCCGCGUGCAGGAUGAAGGCCUUCGGGUUGUAAACUGGUUUUGUACGGAACGAAAAGCCCCGGGUUAAUACCCUGGGGUCAUGACGGUACCGUAAGAAUAAGCACCGGCUAACUACGUGCCAGCCGCCGCCGUAA